GUUUCAGCUAAAUAAGUAGUUGUUAUGCUUAUUGUGGGCAAGCCACCAGAAGCAGCAAGAUACACAUUUUGCUAGUUAAUUCGUGUUGUUGGAACCAUGAAAGAGCCACACUUUCAGAUAGAGUUUCUCCAGGUUUGGAUGGAGGAGCUGACCUUUGACUUAUGCGAGGAGAUUUGGUCUCAAUGGGAGAGUUCAUGGAGUGCAAACUGUCAUGUACCAGGAAUUGCUGCGGUGCCCAUGGAGGCAGUGCCAAGGCUAUUGUAGGAGCUGAAUAGUGCGCCGCCACCUUGUGGCUCACCUUUGUCAGUGCCGGUGGACCCAUCGAGGUGAUAUCAGUUGGUGCCAACAGAGGAGGUGGUGCAGACGGAGGAGGCAGUCUUGACUCUGUUACUUGUGCUUUGGGCUCAGCGGUACGGCCUGUGCCGG